UACGUAGGGCGCGAGCGUUGUCCGGAAUUAUUGGGCGUAAAGAGCUCGUAGGUGGCUUGUUGCGUCUGCCGUGAAAGCCCGUGGCUUAACUACGGGUCUGCGGUGGAUACGGGCAGGCUAGAGGCUGGUAGGGGCAAGCGGAAUUCCUGGUGUAGCGGUGAAAUGCGCAGAUAUCAGGAGGAACACCGGUGGCGAAGGCGGCUUGCUGGGCCAGUUCUGACGCUGAGGAGCGAAAGCGUGGGGAGCGAUCCGG
rnacentral:rRNA from 1 species